ACGGGAGGCAGCAGUGGGGAAUAUUGGACAAUGGGCGAAAGCCUGAUCCAGCGACGCCGCGUGAGUGAAGAAGUAUUUCGGUAUGUAAAGCUCUAUCAGCAGGGAAGAUAAUGACGGUACCUGACUAAGAAGCCCCGGCUAGCUACGUGCCAGCAGCCGCGGUAAUACGUAGGGGGCAAGCGUUAUCCGGAUUUACUGGGUGUAAAGGGAGCGUAGACGGUAUGGCAAGUCUGAUGUGAAAACCCAGGGCUCAACCCUGGGACUGCAUUGGAAACUGUCAAACUAGAGUGCAGUAGAGGUAAGUGGAAUUCCUAGUGUAGCGGUGAAAUGCGUAGAUAUUAGGAGGAACACCAGUGGCGAAGGCGGCUUACUGGACUGUAACUGACGUUGAGGCUCGAAAGCGUGGGGAGCAAACAGGAUUAGAUCCCCUGGUA
rnacentral:rRNA from 1 species